rnacentral:rRNA from 1 species
UCCAUUUAGCGAGAAUGCCGGUAAUAAACCGGAGGAAGGUGGGGAUGACGUCAAAUCAUCAUGCCCCUUAUGACCUGGGCUACACACGUGCUACAAUGGCUGGUACAACGAGUCGCAAGCCGGUGACGGCAAGCUAAUCUCUUAAAGCCAGUCUCAGUUCGGAUUGUAGGCUGCAACUCGCCUACAUGAAGUCGGAAUCGCUAGUAAUCGCGGAUCAGCACGCCGCGGUGAAUACGUUCCCGGGCCUUGUACACACCGCCCGUCACACCACGAGAGUUUGUAACACCCGAAGUCGGUGAGGUAACCUUUUAGGACCCACCCCCCUAAGGUGGGAUAAAUGAUUGGGGUGAAGUCUUAACAGGGAAACCUAAA